CUAGGAGGUUGGCUCAGAAGCAGCCAUCCUUCAAAGAGUGCGUAACAGCUCACUAGUCGAGUGACCCUGCGCCGAAAAUGUACCGGGGCUAAGCAUACUACCGAAGCUGCGGAUUUGUAGUAAUACAAGUGGUAGGGGAGCGUUCCAUGCACGUGGAAGCCAUACCGAAAGGAGUGGUGGAGAGCAUGGAAGUGAGAAUGCCGGUGUGAGUAGCGAGAUGCAGGUGAGAAUCCUGCACACCGAUAGCCCAAGGAUUCCAGGGGAAGGUUCGUCCGCCCUGGGUAAGUCGGGACCUAAGGCGAGGCCGAAAGGCGUAGUCGAUGGAAAACAGGCAGAUAUUCCUGUACCCGCGAUGGAAAUGAAGGAAUGACGGAGAAGGCUAGCAUGAGCCACUUAUUGGAUUGUGGUCGAAGCGAAUAGCAGGUGCAUAGUAAAAUGCGUGCACGGAAUGUAAAACGUGACAGGUAAGCGAAACCUUUGGGGAGUAGCGAAGCAUGCGAGGCCAGCUUCCAGGAAAAGUUUCUAGUGCUGAUUCCAUAGCGGCCCGUACCAAAACCGACACAGGUGGGCAAGGAGAGUAUCCUGAGGUGAGCGAGAGAACUGUUGCCAAGGAACUCGGCAAAAUGACUCCGUAAGUUAGCGAGAAGGAGUGCUUAUGAAAGUAAGCCGCAGUGAAGAGGCCCAAGCGACUGUUUAACUAAAACACAGCUCUCUGCGAAGUCGCAAGACGAAGUAUAGGGGGUGACGCCUGCCCGGUGCUGGAAGGUUAAGAGGAUUUGUCAGUUUCGACGAAGCAAUGAAUUGAAGCCCCAGUGAACGGCGGCCGUAACUAUAACGGUCCUAAGGUAGCGAAAUUCCUUGUCAGGUAAGUUCUGACCCGCACGAAAGGCGUAACGAUUUGGGCGCUGUCUCGGCAGCAGACUCGGUGAAAUCUUAGUACCUGUGAAAAUGCAGGUUACCCGCAACUAGACGGAAAGACCCCAUGGAGCUUUACUGCAGCCUGAUAUUGGAUUUUGAUCAGAGAUGUACAGGAUAGGUGGGAGACGAAGAAGGAUGCACGCCAGUGUAUCUGGAGUCGACGUUGGGAUACCACUCUUGUCUGAUUGGAGUUCUAACCUGCGUCCAUGAAGCUGGACGGGGGACCGUGUCAGGCAGGCAGUUUGACUGGGGCGGUCGCCUCCCAAAGAGUAACGGAGGCGCCCAAAGGUACGCUCAGAUUGGACGGAAAUCAAUCGGCGAGUGCAAAUGCAGAAGCGUGCUUGACUGUGAGACAAACAGGUCGAACAGGGACGAAAGUCGGGAUUAGUGAUCCGGCGGUGCCGAAUGGAAGGGCCGUCGCUCAACGGAUAAAAGCUACCCUGGGGAUAACAGGCUGAUCUCCCCCAAGAGUUCACAUCGACGGGGAGGUUUGGCACCUCGAUGUCGGCUCAUCGCAUCCUGGAGCUGAAGUCGGUUCCAAGGGUUGGGCUGUUCGCCCAUUAAAGCGGUACGCGAGCUGGGUUCAGAACGUCGUGAGACAGUUCGGUCCCUAUCUGUUGUGGGCGUAGGAGAUUUGAGGAGAGCUGUCCUUAGUACGAGAGGACCGGGAUGGACCUACCGCUGGUGCACCGGUUGUUGUGCCAACAGCAUAGCCGGGUAGCUAAGUAGGGAAGGGAUAAGCGCUGAAAGCAUCUAAGCGCGAAGCCUACUCCAAGAUGAGAUCUCCCAUACGCAAGUAGUAAGACCCCUUGAAGACGACGAGGUAGAUAGGUCAGGGAUGGAAGCGCAGCGAUGCGUGGAGUUGACUGAUACUAAUAGGUCGAGGACUUAAUCAA
rnacentral:rRNA from 1 species